rnacentral:rRNA from 1 species
UCUGCCUCAUACUUUUUAUCGUUGGCCUCAGAUC